UACAGAGGGUGCGAGCGUUGUCCGGAAUCACUGGGCGUAAAGGGCGCGUAGGUGGCGACCCAAGUCGAUGGUGAAAGCUCGCCGCUCAACGGCGAGUCGGCCACCGAUACUGGGUUGCUGGAGCACUGUAGAGGCUCAUGGAAUUCCGGGUGUAGCGGUGAAAUGCGCAGAUAUCAGGAGGAACACCGAUGGCGAAGGCAGGUCUCUGGGACGGUACUGACGCUGAGACGCGAAAGCGUGGGGAGCAAACAGG
rnacentral:rRNA from 1 species